rnacentral:tRNA from 1 species
GCCUGGGUGGCUCAGUCGGUUGAGCGUCCGACUUCAGCUUGGGUCAUGAUCUGUGAGUUCGAGCCCCGCGACAGGCU